rnacentral:rRNA from 1 species
AGCGAACGCUGGCGGCAGGCCUAACACAUGCAAGUCGAACGACCCUUUCGUGGUUAGUGGCGGACGGGUGAGUAACACGUCGGAACGUGCCUUUAGGUUCGGAAUUCUUCAGGUUAACUUGUGCUAAUAUCGAAUGUGCCCUUCUGGGGCAAGAUUAAUCGCCUCUAGAGCGGCCGGCGUCUGUUUAGCUAGUUGGUUGAGGUUAUGGCUCUCCAAGGCGAGGAACAGUACCUGGUCUGAGAGGAUGAUCAGCCACAUUGGUACGGAGACACGGCCCAAAAUCCUAGGGGAGGGAGGAGAGGGGGAUCGAGCGCAAUGGGGGAAAGGCAGACGGAGCCAUGGCGGGUGAAUGAUGAAGGUCGGAGGAAAGUGAAAUUGUUUAACCGGGGGCGAUAAUGACGGUACCCGGAGAAGAAGCACCGGCUAACUUCGUG